UGCUAAACGUUGUUUUGAUAUUAUGUGA
rnacentral:sRNA from 1 species